UGGAAAAUGAUGGGUAUGUCAGGAACCCAGGAUUAUGAUUAAUCCAAUUUUGUGCAUCUGGGGUCCAAA
rnacentral:snoRNA from 1 species